rnacentral:pre_miRNA from 1 species
UUAAUACUCCUACGUCCGGAAAUACUUGUCCUAGAAAUGGAUGUAUCUAGACUUAUUUUAGUUAUAGAUACAUCCAUUUUAUAUAUUUAUAGGACAAGUAUUUUCGGACGGAGGAAGUAGUAG